rnacentral:rRNA from 1 species
UACGAAGGGUGCAAACAUUGCUCGGAAUCAUUGGGCGUAAAGCGCACGUAGGCGGCUUGCCAAGUCGGACGUGAAAUCCCUCAGCUCAACUGAGGACGUGCAUCCGAAACUGGCGAGCUUGAGUACUGAAGAGGAUCGCGGAAUUCCCGGUGUAGAGGUGAAAUUCGUAGAUAUCGGGAGGAACACCAGUGGCGAAGGCGGCGAUCUGGGCAGAUACUGACGCUGAGGUGCGAAAGCGUGGGGAGCAAACAGG